rnacentral:rRNA from 1 species
GUAGGGAAUAUUGGGCAAUGGAGGCAACUCUGACCCAGCCAUGCCGCGUGCAGGAUGACGGCCCUCUGGGUUGUAAACUGCUUUUAUACGGGAAGAAAAAUACUACGUGUAGUAUACUUACGGUACCGUAAGAAUAAGGAUCGGCUAAAUCCGUGCCAGCAGCCGCGGUAAUACGGAGGAUACAAGCGUUGUCCGGAUUUAUUGGGUUUAAAGGGUGCGUAGGCGGAUCUUUAAGUCAGUGGUGAAAGCCUGCAGCUUAACUGUAGAAUUGCCAUUGAAACUGAAGAUCUUGAAUGUGGUGAAAGUAGGCGGAAUGUAUCAUGUAGCGGUGAAAUGCUUAGAUAUGAUACAGAACACCGAUAGCGAAGGCAGCUUGCUGAACCAUUAUUGACGCUGAGGCACGAAAGCGUGGGGAGCGAACAGGAUUAGAUACCCUAGUAGUCC